GACAGAGGGUGCAAACGUUGUUCGGAAUUACUGGGCGUAAAGCGCGUGUAGGCGGUGCGGUAAGUCGGGUGUGAAAGCCCUGGGCUCAACCCAGGAAGUGCAUUCGAUACUACCGUACUAGAGUCCCGGAGAGGUUGGUGGAACUCUCGGUGUAGAGGUGAAAUUCGUAGAUAUCGAGAAGAACACCGGUGGCGAAGGCGGCCAACUGGACGGUGACUGACGCUGAGACACGAAAGCGUGGGUAGCAAACAGG
rnacentral:rRNA from 1 species